rnacentral:rRNA from 1 species
AUCGAACGCUAGCGGCAUGCUUAACACAUGCAAGUCGAACGAGUGGCGGACGGGUGAGUAAUAUAUCGUAACUUGCCCGGUCGCCGGGUAUAACUACUCGUUAGAGUGGCUAAUAACGCCUACUAUUGGAGCGGCCUAUAGGGGCUUGGCUAGUGGGUGGGGUAAAGGCGCACAGCGGCAACGAGCCGUAGCUGGUUUGAGAGGACGACCAGGCAAACGGGAACUGAGACACGGCCCAGACUCCUACGGGAGGAAGCAGUGGGGAAUUGUGGACAAUGGGGGAAAGCCUGAUCCAGCCAUGCCGCGUGUAUGAGGAGGGCCUGCGGGUUGUAAAGUAGUUUAGGCAGUGAGGCGGUAGCUGCAGAAGAAGCACCGGCUAACUACGUGCCAGCAGCCGCGGUAAUUC